UUUCGUUCAACAGCGAUUUUGCUGGAACUGAUUAUCAUCGUCAAGCGAGGCACCACUGUAUAGAGAUACACAAACAUUGGAGUGGUAGGAAGAGACAAAGGAAAUAGUUGUAUAAUCCUGGGAGAAAGCAGGAGAAAAAUCAAUAUAGCUGUUAGAAGGAGCAAAGAUUUAAGAAUUAGCAAUGGAUGCAAUUUUUUUAUUUCCCACAGUAGCAGCUGAAUCAGUAGACAAGUCCAUAUAGGAUUAAUGGCUCCUGAACAAAGUUAGCAACUUGCACCACCCCAUAGUGGGGUUGGAAUCCAAGAGGAGAAAGCAGUUAUCAUUCUCUGCUUAUGAUAUUUGAAAGCAGGCUGGCUGCUGUUGGGAUGAAAAUGUUGUUAUGGAUGUUUGUGGGUCUGAUUCAGUGGCUGCUCUUGUGCUUUAGUUCAAGCUCAAACAUCAGUUCACAGUAAGCCUGAAAUGAUCUGUUACAGAGUUUGUAAAGUUCAGUAUUUGGAUAUGUGCUUGUAUGUGGGGACUCCAGAGGCCCAUCGUCUGCCAAAGACGGAGGACAGGAUGGAUUUAGAGAAUAACAAUAUUUAGAAAAGCAGUCUGUUAAAAGGAACAUUUCCAGCUUGGAUAUUAGUGGUCUUUAGCCCUUUUUCAGCUCUUCCAGAUUCUCAGAUAUUUCAAAAUGCUGUACCUAGAAAUCUCUAGUUGGUUACACUUCCAUUUGAAGAGAAGGAAAGGACUCCAUGAGAAGCUGUAUUCUGCUAACCAGCAUUUACAUUGCUCCACAAUAAAAGUAUGCAAAUUUGAAAAAUAAAGACAAAUAGUUAUAUUCAGUCAUGGCAUGUGGUUUCUGAAAUUGGAAAGUAUUGUGAUGUCAUAACCACAAUGGUAUUGGUUAAGGACUAACUAAAAAAAUACAAGUGCUUGUUUAGAAAUGUGUACACAAUGUGUAUCUCAAACAUUCUCAAAUCAGCUUAUAAAAGCUGGAUACAAACAACUAAGAAAGCUGAAACAAACGUAUUCAAAUGGUAAAGGCUAACAAAGCAGCUGCUGGAAUGAUAUACAUGAACUGUAGAUGAAAUCUCAACAAAUUAAGUGUUUGAAUACCCAAGAAGGGAUAAAACAUCCCAAGGUGAGUACUUCAAAGGUCAUCCUUUCACCAGAAAGAUUUUUCUCAGUUACUACUUAACCUGCCUUUGAUUAAAGAGACACCCAAAGAAGGGCUUCUUAGGAUACCUUUAAAUAGCAAGUAAGCUCAUGUAGAAGCAAACUAUUCUUAUGACUGAGUGUCAAAGCUGUACGGAGAGCUCAAGCAGGGAUUAGAAGCUUCUAAGGCUUCUAUGGUGAACAUUUUUACAAUUCAGUGAACUCCUUGGUGUGUUCAGAAUGGCAUAUCACACUUCCGGAAGCCUCUUGGAAUAUGAUUUGCUAUUUAAGGUCUGUUGUUUGAUCAGAAGUAUGAAAUUAAUCUGCAGAACCAGCAUUGCUGCAAAGUCAUUUUGCCUUAGCCACUAAAAGUCAGAUAACCUAGUAUUUCAAAUUCUUCUCUGCAGUGUUGCUUAAAUGCACUUCUGGUGUGAUCCAGCUAGGGUCUCUUUAUGUUCUUAGUAUUAUUAGCCAGUAUAGGUCCUUUUUCUCCACAGAUCAAUUAUAAAUGGAGGCAUCAACAGCAUUUGAAACAAUCCAGAGCCUUGUAUCAAGUAACACCCGUGAAGAUAACAGGGAGUAAGUGAUUUUGCACUUCUGCACCGGCAGGUUUAGAUUGGGUCGGGUAUCUUUGACUUCAGAAAACAAUGUUGUUUGGGUGGCUUAAACACUGGAAGCAUGGGCAGAAUACAUGCUGUCUGAACAUUUUGUUCUGUGGAAGUUUUAAAAGGAAUUCACAAGCUUAAAGUUUAGCAGGUUGCCUGGACUUGGAAUAAGGCAUCAAGCAGUUCAAUAUUUGUUUCAUAUAGAUGGAAACCACUUUUUAAAACAGAGACAGACAACCAUCAUAAAUAUUUGUUUUAGAGAUGGGCAUGAGUGCAGCUUCCCUAGACAACCUGGGACCAAAAUGACAGCACUUAGAAAAAGUUCCUUUCUUCCCUGUGGAAAUAUCAUUUUUUUUCUUGGGGUUGUUUGCUCUUGACAAUAGUAGAUUUUUUAAAUGAAAGCAGAAUUCAACUUUCGUCAGCAGUUAACAUGCAGUGAAAGAAGUUACCAGGUGCUGCUCAUGUAAAUGUCUUUCAGCCUAAGACAAGUCACAGACCAGCAUUUGCAGCAGUGUCAUAAGAGGAACCCAGAAAGAUCCCCUUGGGGGUAUUAUGCUGCUGUGAUGCAAGCUGCUUCUGUGAUUCCGAAAUAAUGGGAACACCAAAACGAUGACAUCACCCAGGCCUGGAAAGACAAAGUGGUGAGUUAGCCUAAUGGGUUGACUUACUUGGAGGGCAUGACAAUCCUCCUAUUUUGGCACUGUGUGUGUUGGUGAGACCCAGAGGAUCAGGGAAAAGUCUGCAUAAAUGGCCCAGAUUGCUAGCUAUAAGGACAGGGCAGGUGAUUGGGGGGGGGAGACUCGUGAGGCAUGAACCCUCUGCUACUGCCCAGAACCACCUGACCUUGAUAGUGAGACUUGGAGUAGGUAACUUGUUUGCUUCCAGAUGCUGGACUUUAGCCUCUAUCAGCCCUCGCUGGCAGAGCCAAAGGUGAGGGGUAGUGGGAUUUGCAGUCUAUGACUUUGAGAUGGCCAGAGUUUGCCUGCCCUGCUCAGCAUUAUAUGGGAGGAUACUUUCCAUGUAGAAAAUGUGCCUCCUUUGCUUUGGGUGCACCUCUUUUUUCCUCCCUCACUGGGACUAUCAGGCAAGCUCCUUACGUUGCUAGUAAUAUUAGAUAAUGUCACAUCUCCCAGUUUGGUUGUCUAUUCAUUCACUGGUGUGUUUAGCAAAAUGUUGUGGGUAUAAUACCUGUGGUGAAGAACUGACUUAAAUUCAUAAACUUUGUUCUUAUCUGCUUGUCUUGUAAGUGGCUGUUUCCCUUUAAUAAACACUUUUCCAAA